GUAGUCCAUGCCGUAAACGUUGGGCGCUAGGUGUGGGGCUCAUUCCACGAGUUCCGUGCCGCAGCUAACGCAUUAAGCGCCCCGCCUGGGGAGUACGGCCGCAAGGCUAAAACUCAAAGGAAUUGACGGGGGCCCGCACAAGCGGCGGAGCAUGCGGAUUAAUUCGAUGCAACGCGAAGAACCUUACCAAGGCUUGACAUACACCGGAAACAUGCAGAGAUGUGUGCCCCGCAAGGUCGGUGUACAGGUGGUGCAUGGUUGUCGUCAGCUCGUGUCGUGAGAUGUUGGGUUAAGUCCCGCAACGAGCGCAACCCUCGUUCUAUGUUGCCAGCACGUAAUGGUGGGGACUC
rnacentral:rRNA from 1 species